AACUCUCAACCCCCCUGUUUUGUAAUGAGACAGGCUGCGGGCUUGGAUUAUGGUUGUCUGCUGGCGUAAAGUCAAGCUCAACUGAAAUACACGAGCAACCCAUUUGAAAUAGACGGUUUGACUCGGCGUAAUAAUUAUUUCGCUGAGGACGUCUUCUUUAAAGUCAGUGGUGCUUCUAAUGCGUUAUUGAAUUAACAUCAUAAGC
rnacentral:misc_RNA from 1 species